AUUGAACGCUGGCGGCAGGCCUAACACAUGCAGGUCGAGCGGAUGAAGGGAGCUUGCUCCUGGAUUCAGCGGCGGACGGGUGAGUAAUGCCUAGGAAUCUGCCUGGUAGUGGGGGAUAACGUCCGGAAACGGGCGCUAAUACCGCAUACGUCCUGAGGGAGAAAGUGGGGGAUCUUCGGACCUCACGCUAUCAGAUGAGCCUAGGUCGGAUUAGCUAGUUGGUGGGGUAAAGGCCUACCAAGGCGACGAUCCGUAACUGGUCUGAGAGGAUGAUCAGUCACACUGGAACUGAGACACGGUCCAGACUCCUACGGGAGGCAGCAGUGGGGAAUAUUGGACAAUGGACGAAAGCCUGAUCCAGCCAUGCCGCGUGUGUGAAGAAGGUCUUCGGAUUGUAAAGCACUUUAAGUUGGGAGGAAGGGCAGUAAGUUAAUACCUUGCUGUUUUGACGUUACCAACAGAAUAAGCACCGGCUAACUUCGUG
rnacentral:rRNA from 1 species